rnacentral:miRNA from 1 species
AUCAUCUGGGAAUCCUGUUGAAAUGCAGAUUCUGAUUCAGUAGGUCUAGGAUGAGGCUUGAAAUUUUGCAUUUCUAAUAAGUUCUCAGGUGAUAUCCA